GACGAACGCUGGCGGCGUGCUUAACACAUGCAAGUCGAACGGAAAGGCCCUGCUUGCAGGGUACUCGAGUGGCGAACGGGUGAGUAACACGUGGGUUAUCUGCCCUGCACUUCGGGAUAAGCCUGGGAAACUGGGUCUAAUACCGGAUAGGAGCCAUUUUUAGUGUGAUGGUUGGAAAGUUUUUUCGGUGUAGGAUGAGCUCGCGGCCUAUCAGCUUGUUGGUGGGGUAAUGGCCUACCAAGGCGGCGACGGGUAGCCGGCCUGAGAGGGUGGACAGCCACAUUGGGACUGAGAUACGGCCCAGACUCCUACGGGAGGCAGCAGUGGGGAAGAUUGCACAAUGGGCGCAAGCCUGAUGCAGCGACGCCGCGUGGGGGAUGACGGCCUUCGGGUUGUAAACUCCUUUCGCUAGGGACGAAGCUUUUUGUGACGGUACCUAGAUAAGAAGCACCGGCUAACUACGUG
rnacentral:rRNA from 1 species